rnacentral:rRNA from 1 species
UAGGGAAUAUUAGAAAUGGACGGAAGUCUGAUCUAACAACACCGCGUGUGCGAAGAAGGCCUUCGGGUCGUAAAGCACUUUUUGGAAGGAAUAGGAAGGAAUGUACUUCCAGAAUAAGUCUCGGCUAACUACGUGCCAGCAGCCGCGGUAACACGUAGGAGGCGAACGUUAUCCGGAUUUACUGGGCGUAAAGCGCGUGUAGGUGGUUCUGUAAGUAGGGCGUGAAAGCUCCUGGCUCAACUGGGAGAGGCCGUUCGAAACUACAGAACUAGAGGAUGGUAGAGGGAGGUGGAAUUCCAGGUGUAGCGGUGGAAUGCGCAGAUAUCUGGAGGAACACCAGUGGCGAAGGCGGCCUCCUGGACCAUUCCUGACACUCAGACGCGAAAGCUAGGGUAGCAAACG